rnacentral:lncRNA from 1 species
GGUGAAAAUCAGCUCUGAAGUAGCAGUUCUUUGCUGGACAAUUCCCUGAUGAUACUAAAGGACCCAACAGAAGGAUGUGCCCUAUCAGAAACCUGUAUAAUAACGGUCCUUUAAAAUAGUUUUCUUAUUAGUUGAUUGCUUAUGGCCAUUUUAGAUGAAGGCACCAACACAAAACUGUAAAACAGACCAAUAGGCUUCUCGUAUGCUAAAUAGCAAGUAGGAAUUCAUACUAAUGCACAUACUUUUUACAUUUUUUACUGGCAAAAGUAGCCUCUGCAUACUUUAUCCAUUCUUAAACUGUUAACUUUAAUGACUGCGGCGUGUCUACUGACCUGAUGUCUCCAAAUUUCCUCUCACAGGCCCCUGAUGACAUUCUGGGCACAAUAUAAACCACAUACUUUCAGAUAGGCCUUAAAUACAUACUAUCACAUAACGGACAUUUUAAUAAAGCCCAGGAAAAUACAUAAAGAGAGCAGUGACAGUUGACUAAAUGUUUUAUAUUUUCUAUUUGCUCCUUGAGGCCCAUCUAAUUACAAAGUAAAUAGUUUCAUAAAUUAGAAAAAUAAAUGAUAUAAUAAAAUAUUGAAUGAAUUACCAUCUCCUAAGUGAUUCUAACUUGUCUUUAAUAUAAAACCAGUUAUGACCUAUUUUUGAGGGUACUAGCUUUACUUUUAAAAGGCAAACAUUUUUCUUACAUUCAUUAAAGUGUGAAGUUCUACGUGAAAUGUCCUAACUAUCACAGACUUUAAGCUCAGGCAAGUGACAAAAGUCUUUGGUUGUUCAAGUGAGAAUACCUAUUAGGAGACACAAGAUGCCAUAUCAGUAAAUCAAAGAUAUGUUGUAUAAAAACAUGCGAAAAAUUAAGCUAAUUAUGAACAUGAACAGGCAGGUUUCUUUUAAGUGACUUUCAUUUAUGGAGGAGGGAGGUAGAUAUUCUGACAAUAAACAAAUCUGCAUUAUUUGUGUUGGCAAAAUAUAUUUUUGUAUGCCCCCUCUCCAUUUUGUGGGGACAUAAACAAUAAUUUGAAAACUAAUAAAAAACUAAUAUAACUAAUGACAAAUUAUUAUUGCUAUCAUCACAAGGAGACACUCUGUAAUAAGUGUUUAUUUUAAUGUGUUUGUUCAAAAUGGCUUAUACAUUUUAAUAUAACAAUAUUAACUGCCCCUGAGUUUCAGUUGAAAUAGGACUCAUACUCUUUUUCUACCAAUCUUAAUAUAUGGAUAUCCUUCCAAGAAGCAGAGAAUAAGAUGGCAUAAAUAUAUUACAACAGAAAAACUGAGCCCUAGAAAGGUAAUACAUGUGCUCAAACACACACAAACAGUGAUUUGUUAAGCCAAGGUGAGAAUUCGCAUUGCUUGAUCCAGAUUCAUUCAUUGCCUUCUACCUGAACUUUGGAGUUUACUGUGGGACACAGGAAAAAUAAUAAUCCUCCCAUUGAGGGAAAUCAUGUCAUCAGACCAGGACAAAUGAUAUUUAUUAUGCCUCAAGAGGUUUUCAUAAAAGUCUAGUUCUCUAAAUAAAUGAAAACACUUUUUUUAAAAAAAGGUAGAAUGCACCAAUUGGCAGCAGAAGAGAUACUUUUAGAAAGUGGCCAUCACCCAAUUUCAACAUAAGAAACUGAAAUACUUUGGAAAAUUACAAGCUAGAUGACUACAUCAUUUACCAUCUUUAAGAACGAAGAGAAAUUAACGUAUACUAUUAAUAUAUAUCAUUAAGGGACAUGCAUUCAUCCUAAGAAACUGGGCAGAAUUACUGCUACUGAAGAGAAGACAGGAAAUGAAGACUUCUUGGAGACAGCAGUAGGCUUCCAUGCCUCUUAAAUAGACUUUGAUGAAUUGAUCUUGUUUCAACAAUAGUUGAUGCUUUCAGCAGUUCCUUUUAUCCUCUCACUCAGAUCGAUCUAAAUUUCUGAGGAGUUCAGAAUGAACAUUUUCAUUGGCCAGCUUUCCUAAAUGUUGACCAGAUGAACAAAUGAAAAGGCAAUCCUCAAGUUUCUUCUGAACAACUUCCAGCAGUGUGAAGCAAAUCAAAGUACAAUGCCAUAGUGGUUGAAGCUUCCUACUUCCUGCUUUAAUUUCUCCCUAUAAAAGAUAUUUUUGCACGUGUUGUACGGAAUAUGUUCAGAGUUAUUUCAUUCCUUUCCGAACCCAAAUUUUUCUUAUAGGCAAAGUUCUUUAGAGUUUUACUACCUGAAGCCACAUUUUAAGAAAAGUUAUCUUCUAAGCAUUCUAAUUUUAGAAGUUAUAUAGAUUUUUUUAAAUAUCCAUGUAAACAUCAUAGUUAAGAAGCACAUUAUAUGGAACAGAAUAUCCUCUGAUUUAAUUUACUUUUCCCGUUUCAGUAUUUGGAAGAUGAUAUUAAAUCUCCAUUUAAAAAAAAUUUGGAGGGGCGCCUGGGUGACUCAGUGGGUUGAAUGACUGACUCUUGAUUUAGGCUCAGGUCAUAUCACUACCCCCCUCACACACACCCUCACCACCCCCCUGCACCCGCCUAGUGUAGCACCUGCUCUCUCUCCCCCAGACCCCUCUCCCCCACUUGCACACACUGUCUCUAAAAUAAAAAUAAAUAAAUAAAUAAAUAAAUAAAAUAAAAUAAAAUAAAAUAAAAUAAAAUAAAUUGGGAAUUUCUGGCUUUUUCCAGAAUACCACAACUCUAAUGACAGUAAAAGGCAUAGGAAACACUACCAUCUCUCAGACUGCAUUAUUAUUAUUUAAAAUCACAGAUAAUUCAGAUUAUCUUCAGGUAUAAGAUGAAAUGAAGGAAGUUACAUAUGUAAACACAUACCUCUAGUACAUGGUACACACAUACAGACCAAACAAACACACAGGGACAUCUUUACCAGUUGUAGCAAUAUGAAUGAUUUCAUAAGCAUUAAUUGAGAUGAGAAUGACACUUCAAAAAUCACUCUAACCUCUAAUUAUGGUUAUAAUGAAGCACCAGAUUAACACUAUUAUUUUCUUCAUUAAAAAUUCAAAGUAACAAUUUUUCUGGUGUUGAAAAUAGGUGAGCGCAAUUUUUCAGUAUUGAAAAUUCCUGAAAGAGUUAAAACGUCAUAAAAAAAAUGACAAAGGCACUUCCACAAAAUAAUAUGGCUACCACAGUAGAACAGAAUUUUGUAGAAGUAGUGCACAUUUGAUGACUGUCAGAAUUUACAUAAGUUACUCUGCAUGAAUUAACUAUGAGAUAUAAAAUUCAACUUUGGCUUAAACACACAUACACAGAGUAAUUGUGACAUUUUUAGGCACUGCAACUAUGACAUCAAGGUAAUGCCUAAAUCAUCAACACAAAUAUGAACAAAAUGACUAUGGCACAUAACUUUAGCGUCCCAACAUGUUGUGUGGGAAAGAAAAGUGGUAGUGUCAGAAAAGGAGCUGAAACAAAAUGGGUCCAUAUCCAACAGUUUGUGUAGGUCUUUCUCAUUGAAAUGGAUACUUGUCAAUUUGGUGUCCAAAAUAACCAGUCUAAAGUAUUAGGGUCACAGAUUGGGCUCACACAAGAAAACCCACAGAUAUCAGAAUCUCUUGACAUUAUUAACUAUUAGGAAAACCAAAUCCUAAUAUUGAACAUCUGUCCUGUGAAAUUUACCAUCUAUCUUCUGAUCAAGAUUUCGAAAGGUGCCCCCCCCAAAAUGAAGUCAAAGGACUCGUGGGGGUAUCUUUGUUUCUCUCCCAAAGCCUAAAAGUUAUACUCAACUGCAGCACAAAGAGUAAAGAGGUUGUUAUUCAUAUUAACUACAUUUACAUUCCUAACGUAACAUCCAGAGAGCUAAUAGUGGGGUUAUUAACAUAACAAACGUAAAUGUUCUAUAUAAAUAAUACUGUUUCAGGCCAGCAACCGCUCAUCUGACAGCAUUUAGGCACAGGCUCAACAUCUGUUUAUGAACACUUUGCCUAAUGAUAUCAUCAGAUAUCAUUAAGUGCGGCAGAAUACAGCAUAGAGGCAGGUGCAGCUGCCUUCACAACCCAUCACAGAGAAAGAAAAGAGCUGCAUUCCCCAUCCGAAAACCCAUCAUUAGGACAAUUUUCUUCGACAAACCAGCCCUGUGAUUUCAAUCUGUAUAUCACCUGUAAUUGUAGUUUUUAGCAAGAAGCUGAUUCUAUACAUUUAGCGACGAAUCACGUUGAUGGCCUGAAUACUGGAAACACAUUUGUGGUACCAGCUGCGGCAGCUUUUUUUAGAGCCUGUGUUAACAAAAUACUGCUAACAAGGCAAUGCUUGGAGUGCAGCUUUGUUUCUCUUUCUUGUUCAUAGUGUUUAGAUGUGCAUAAUUAUGGAAAUUAGCAAUUGAUUGCUUCUCAAUAAUAAUUGAUUACUGGUCACUGAACUCUCCUGUAGCACUUUACCGAAGGUGAGGACAUGAGAUAAGUGAAUUCUUACCAGUUCCAACCAUAUAUAAAGAAAGAGACCAAAAAGAACUCUCGAUUUGUACAUCAGUUUCCAUGAUAAACAGACCAAAGGGAUAAUAGAAUAUCCCAGAAUCUAGUUUGCCCUGAAGCAAAUUGUAGAGAUCAUAGCAAGCCUGCAGAUUUCUCCCUGUGGACCAUGUAAGAAACAUACAUCAUUUUUAUAUAUGUCAGUUGGUCUUUGAUUUGAAAAUAUUUCUACCCAUUUAAUUUAUCUCUUUCAGUCAGUUUUCUUAAAUUGUACAAUUUAAGGGUUAUAUCAAAAAAAUGAAUACCAAUUUUCAACACCUCUCAAAUUGAAACAAACUGACAAAAUAAUGUGAAGUCUCUUUUGCAAAGAGGUACAAAUUCAGAAACCUAUCGUCUCAGACAGAUAGCAAGCACUUCAAAAUGACUCUCCUCUUUUUGAUCUGCUGUAUAUCCAUCAACAUUUUGGUCGGUGCAGACUGACUUGUUUCAGUAUAGCAUAAUGUAGGGAACGUUACUUGAUGCUGCAGCUAACAUUUAAAGGAGAAUGCACUUAUUUUUGGCUUAAUCACUACUGUCAAUUGGGACAUAACGUAUCUAAUUCAAAUUUAUUGCAGUACAUGGAAGCCUCACAGACAAUAAAGAAUCCGUGGUGUUUGUUAAAUGGGAAACACCGUGACUCAUGGUGUUUCAAAGAUGGGAAGAGCAGUAGGAAAAAAAAUUUAACUCUUUGUUUUAGAAGAGUAAUGAGCUUCCAAGUGUUAAAUGAUGCCCUCCCUGGUGUGUCUGUGAGAGAAUACGUGUGUGUGUGUGUGAGUGUGUGCGCGUGCAUGCUAAUUUUUACAGGACAUGGCUCUUCUGUGGCAAUCAACUUUACAACCCGAUUCACAAAAAAAAUGCAGCUUGGUUAAAGUUAGUAUGCUCAAUUUCAAUAAUGUUUUUAUCCCCAAAUGGGUAGCAGAUUGUACAAUCAUGACUCAAAAAAAAUAUGCACAAGUUAUAAGAAUUAGGCAACAGUUUGCGAAUAAAACUGAAUUCCUCCUCUCUGCCCACAGAAGGCUUUCUCAUAUAAUGAACAGGUGCAAUUUCCAGAGAUCUCUGUUCACUGAGAUGGCAGAAGCCACUGUUUGUUGCUUUCCCCAGCAGCAACACAGGAUAAUAUGAUGAUAAAGCUGUGAUCAGAAACCAAAAAGCCACAUCACAUAUAUGUACACUUCUACUCUGUUAGUACAUCUCUCAAAUACAAAUUUAUAUUCCUACCCUCCUAGCUCUAUCUUAAAUUGACAUUUAUGCACUGAAUAACAUCAUUAUGAAUUUUUACACUACUUUGUACCCAAAACCUGCAAAAAAAAAAAAAAAAGAUUCCAGGCAAUGUGUGUGAGUCCAUGUGCUUACGCCAUUAUGUUAGUGCCAAAAGGCGUUAAAAAAAUGCAGACAGAUUCCCUGUAAUAUAUCUCCGGGUUUAUUAUCAGCGUGACAUUUUAAUGUGUGUUAUUAAAAUUAUAUUUUAGGGGUUGGGGUGGGGUUCAGGUGGAAGAGUACUUUGGAAUAUUGCAAAAAGUUGCACAUAAAAAUGAUUUUGGUAACCUAGCGAUGUCCUUGACACACGUUGGCACUACGGAGUGUAUCUGCUUAAAGAGACAUAUGGCUAGAAUGGCAGAAGUCAGAAUUUGAAGGGUAUUAGCAAAACCAUGUGGGGAAGCUUGAACUGGCUUAGGCUAAUUGUAGCUCUUCUCUAAUUUCACAUGCUCUACACCCGUAAGCUAAUUUUAACUAUUGAAAGUACAAUUUCCAUUUUUUGAGGUAGUUUUAAAUCCCAUCAACAGGAAAUCAGAUUGAAAGCAAACGUACUUGCUUCUAAAGCCAGGUAACUUUCAACUGCUAACAGCAUAAGGUAGAAAAAAAAAAAUUGGUAAAUGAUCAACCCAAACCACUGAGCCGCUGGUGUGGUUUGUUGCUGUUGAAUUACCGUUGAAGUGAGAGAAGCCUUCUAAGAAAACGAGGGAGGAGUCUUAUCUUCUCAGCAAGGCUUUCCUGACCACGUAAUAGCUCUGCAGAGGACCCCUGCAUCCUUCCUCCUUAGUUUUAUUUUCAUCAAAGCCCUAUGACCACUUGAUAUUUCUUGUCAUUUACUUGUUUAUUUGUUCAUUGUCUUUCUCCCCUUUUCACUGAAGUGUGAGCUCUGUCACAGAAGGAUCUUACUGAUCUUCUUCAUUCCUAUCUGCUUUUUAAACUUUUUUUUUAUUGUUUAUUUGUUUUUGAGAGAUAGAGACAGAGCAUGAGCAGGGAAGGGGCAGAGAGACACAGGGAGACACAGAAUCUGAAGCAGGCUCCAGGUUCCGAGAUGUCAGCACAGAGCUCGACGCGGGCCUCCAACUCAUGAACCGUGAGAUCAUGACCUGAGCCAAAGUCGGACGCUUUACCGACUGAGCCACCCAGGCGCCCCUAUUCCCAUCUGCUUGAUACCUAUGAGACACUCAGUAAAAAAUGUGUAAGAUGAAUAAAUGUGACAUAUACAAAGUCCUUUACAGGCCAUGGCCUGGGUGGCAUUCUCAACUUCUCCUUGGAAUGGUCAGGAUCCACUAACCUAGGAUAAGUUUCUAAACAUUUUAUGUCAAGUUUUCCAUGAAAUGCUAUUUUGUUCAUAACAAAUGAAAAGUUUCACAUGGUAUUACUGCUGGCUUAUAUAAUCUAGCCAGAGAAAUUUUAUUUAAUUAAGGAAAAUUAGUUUAGCACUUCCUUAAUAUUUGCUGUAGUACUUUGCUACCUAAUUUUUUUCUUGAAUAACCAAUUUCAUAAUUAAAGGCUUAGCUCAAAAGAACUUUAAAAAAAUAAAUCAGUCCAUAUAACCUAAAAAAAUAUCUGUUAGCGUUUGGAUACAAACAGCAAUUGAGACUACCUAUAUAUACUUUUUAUUCUUGAUAAAGAUAUUAACCAUAUUAGGCGUUGAAAGAAGAAAUAGCAAAUUAUCUAUAUUACUUCUUUACUCGGGGCUAAAGAUACAAACUGUUUUCCAAGAACCAUCUGAGAAAAUUAUUUUUCAUUUAAGAUCCCAUUCCCAUAGUACCAGGACAGGUGAGAGAAUGAGAGGUAUAUUAUUGGAAGGUAUUUCAAAUGAGUAAUCAUUCUGAAUGUGUGCACAUCAGAAACUCCUCAAAGCCUGCCUGGCAAUCUGUUUUCUACAUAAGUUUGUUUUUAUCUGUGGUUGGGAGCAUUGAUAUUUAAAUUUUCAUUAACUACUUUCUAUAAUGAAUAAGAAGUACAUAGCUAAACUUGAUUUGUAGCAAAUC